GCCAAUGUGACAGGAAAAAAAGGAUUCUGUAAGUAAUUUUAAUGAGAAACUUUCUUAAAAUAUUGCCAUAGUAUUUCGGAAUAAUGCUGUUGUGCUAAGAACAUGUUUUGAUGCCCGCAAAAAAGCCAAAUAUUUUUUCACUUAGAGAAGAAAUGGUAAAAUAUAAAAAUCCUUUUCUUUUAUGACCUGAAAUUGAUUUUAGUUUCAGUAGUUCACAAAAAAUGGCCAGGAAGUAGAAUCCCUUUGCACUACUAACCCUCCACGUCUGACAGAGUCCUGUUAGCUCUGCUGGCCAAACAGGUGACACUGUGAGCUAGCAGCAACCGUGAUGAUGAUGAUGAUGAUGAAGAUGAUGACGAUGAUGGAGGUGGAUUAUGUGGAGUCUGUGGUUGGACUGUUUGGACAUUACACACAGGCUACAGUGGACACUGGCAGCUGCUGGAUGAAAACAGCACUGGUAGGUUGUUUCAUAUUAAUAAGCCGGAGUUCUUGUGCUUUCUCGUCUCGCAGGUUCUCAUGGAUCCUGGUGGAGCCUCCUGCCAUGGUCCUGCUAGACUCCCACUGCUAAUAUCACUGAUAUUAGUGUUAUUAUUAUUAUUAUUACUACAGUUACUAUUAUUACUAUUGUCACUGCUCAUCGUCCCCCAUCGUUGUUGUCGUCAUCGCCAUCAUCUUCUUCAUGUUCAUCAUCAUCAGUCACUACUAUUAGUGUAGUUGUUGCUAUGCAUCUGUCUCUCUCUCACCCCAACUGGUCGACCACCCACCUAGAGCCGGAGGAUCUGUCCUAGGUUUCUGCCUUUUAACAGGCAGUUUUUCCUUGCCCUUGUCUCCAAGGUCUUGCUCAUGGUGGUACUGUUGGGUCUCUGUAAUUAAUGUUAUAGAGUUCGGUCUAGACCUGCUCUAUUUGAAAAGUGUCCUGAGAUAACUUCUGUUAUAUAUUGGCGCUAUACAAAUAAAAUUGAAUUGAAUUGAAUUGAAUAUCAUAAAAUGAUGAAAUAGAAAUGUAUAGAAACUGAAAGCCUUUCUUCCAGUGACUUGAUGCAGCUACAUACUCGUUGUGAGCAACAUAACGAAGCACACUGCAGUGAACAUAGCUCACAGUAAUGAAAACCACUCUCAGACACACACACACACACACACACACACACACACACACACACACAAAUCAGUGUCAGUGACCUCCAAUCAUGUCUUCACACCUUCAGGGAGAGGAACUUCAUAAACUAAUGGAUGAAUUGCCUUGCUUAUUUCCCCCCUCCUCAUCUCCCUUUUUGGCUCGCCUCUUCAGAAUGAAGUUGCCCAGAGCUGGGCACAGCUUGCAUUUAUCAGACGGCUUUUUCUCUUCGUUACGGCUCUGUGUGUAAGGCCGUUGAUUUAUUCGGGUGAAUACGUGCUGUAUGUCGCAGGCAGAAAAUUACUCUACGGCUUAUUAAUCUUUGGUCGUUAAUAGGAGAUGAUGGCUGGUUAGUUUGUCAUUUCCAAAGCAGGAAGCUAAAGCAUUGUCUGUCGAUCACUAUUAUCAUAAUUACCAGCCAUUUUUAUUACAUCUUUUUGUAUGAUUGAGUCAUAAAAAUAUUAUUUUCUCAAAGAUUUUUAGGACUGGCUCACAGACAAAAUGUUAAGCUGGAG
rnacentral:lncRNA from 15 species